GAAGGAUCAUUAAAGAGUAAGGGUGCUCAGCGCCCGACCUCCAACCCUUUGUUGUUAAAACUACCUUGUUGCUUUGGCGGGACCGCUCGGUCUCGAGCCGCUGGGGAUUCGUCCCAGGCGAGCGCCCGCCAGAGUUAAACCAAACUCUUGUUAUUAAACCGGUCGUCUGAGUUAAAAUUUUGAAUAAAUCAAAACUUUCAACAACGGAUCUCUUGGUUCUCGCAUCGAUGAAGAACGCAGCGAAAUGCGAUAAGUAAUGUGAAUUGCAGAAUUCAGUGAAUCAUCGAAUCUUUGAACGCACAUUGCGCCCCUUGGUAUUCCGAGGGGCAUGCCUGUUCGAGCGUCAUUACACCACUCAAGCUAUGCUUGGUAUUGGGUGCCGUCCUUAGUUGGGCGCGCCUUAAAGACCUCGGCGAGGCCUCACCGGCUUUAGGCGUAGUAGAAUUUAUUCGAACGUCUGUCAAAGGAGAGGACUUCUGCCGACUGAAACCUUUUAUUUUUCUAGGUUGACCUCGGAUCAGGUAGGGAUACCCGCUGAACUUAAGCAUA
rnacentral:rRNA from 1 species